rnacentral:rRNA from 1 species
AUUGAACGCUGGCGGCAGGCCUAACACAUGCAAGUCGGACGGUAGCACAGAGAGCUUGCUCUUGGGUGACGAGUGGCGGACGGGUGAGUAAUGUCUGGGGAUCUGCCCGAUAGAGGGGGAUAACCACUGGAAACGGUGGCUAAUACCGCAUAACGUCGCAAGACCAAAGAGGGGGACCUUCGGGCCUCUCACUAUCGGAUGAACCCAGAUGGGAUUAGCUAGUAGGCGGGGUAAUGGCCCACCUAGGCGACGAUCCCUAGCUGGUCUGAGAGGAUGACCAGCCACACUGGAACUGAGACACGGUCCAGACUCCUACGGGAGGCAGCAGUGGGGAAUAUUGCACAAUGGGCGCAAGCCUGAUGCAGCCAUGCCGCGUGUAUGAAGAAGGCCUUCGGGUUGUAAAGUACUUUCAGCGGGGAGGAAGGCGGUGCGGUUAAUAACCGCGCCGAUUGACGUUACCCGCAGAAGAAGCACCGGCUAACUCCGUGCCAGCCGCCGCCGUAACAC